rnacentral:rRNA from 1 species
GGGCGCAAGCCUGAUGCAGCCAUGCCGCGUGUAUGAAGAAGGCCUUCGGGUUGUAAAGUACUUUCAGCAGUGAGGAAGGUGGGUAUGUUAAUAGCAUAUUCAUUUGACGUUAGCUGCAGAAGAAGCACCGGCUAACUCCGUGCCAGCAGCCGCGGUAAUACGGAGGGUGCGAGCGUUAAUCGGAAUUACUGGGCGUAAAGCGCAUGCAGGUGGUUUGUUAAGUCAGAUGUGAAAGCCCGGGGCUCAACCUCGGAAUUGCAUUUGAAACUGGCAAACUAGAGUACUGUAGAGGGGGUAGAAUUUCAGGUGUAGCGGUGAAAUGCGUAGAGAUCUGAAGGAAUACCGGUGGCGAAGGCGGCCCCCUGGACAGAUACUGACACUCAGAUGCGAAAGCGUGGGGAGCAAACCAGGAUUAGAUACCCUGGUAG